rnacentral:rRNA from 1 species
AUUGAACGCUGGCGGCAUGCCUUACACAUGCAAGUCGAACGGUAACAGGGAGCUUGCUCCGCUGACGAGUGGCGAACGGGUGAGUAAUGUCUGGGAAACUGCCUGAUGGAGGGGGAUAACUACUGGAAACGGUAGCUAAUACCGCAUAACGGCGCAAGACCAAAGUGGGGGACCUUCGGGCCCCAUGCCAUCAGAUGCGCCCGGAUGGGAUUAGCUAGUAGGUGGGGUAACGGCUCACCUAGGAGACGAUCCCUAGCUGGUCUGAGAGGAUGACCAGCCACACUGGAACUGAGACACGGUGCAGACUCCUACGGGAGGCAGCAGUGGGGAAUAUUGCACAAUGGGCGCAAGCCUGAUGCAGCCAUGCCGCGUGUGUGAAGAAGGCCUUCGGGUUGUAAAGCACUUUCAGCGGGGAGGAAGGCGAUAAGGUUAAUAACCUUGUCGAUUGACGUUACCCGCAGAAGAAGCACCGGCUAACUCCGUGCCAGCAGCCGCGGUAA